rnacentral:rRNA from 1 species
UACAGAGGUCUCAAGCGUUGUUCGGAUUCAUUGGGCGUAAAGGGUGCGUAGGUGGCGCUGUAAGUCGGGUGUGAAAUUUCGGAGCUUAACUCCGAAACUGCAUUCGAUACUGCGGUGCUUGAGGACUGGAGAGGAGACUGGAAUUCAUGGUGUAGCAGUGAAAUGCGUAGAGAUCAUGAGGAAGACCAGUGGCGAAGGCGGGUCUCUGGACAGUUCCUGACACUGAGGCACGAAGGCCCAGGGGGAGCAAACGGGG